CCUACGGGAGGCUGCAGUGAGGAAUAUUGGUCAAUGGCCGGAAGGCUGAACCAGCCAAGCCGCGUGAUGGACGAAGGUGCCAAGCAUUGUAAACUUCUUUUGUCAAGGGACAAAAUCAGGCUCGAGAGCCUGACCGAGGGUACUUGAAGAAAAAGCAUCGGCUAACUCCGUGCCAGCAGCCGCGGUAAUACGGAGGCUGCGAGCGUUAUCCGGAUUUAUGGGGUUUAAGGGGUGCAUAGGCGGGCUGUUAAGUCAGCGGUAAAAGCCCGGGGCUCAACCCCGGCGAGCCGUUGAAACUGGCUGUCUUGAGAUGUCGAGAGGUAUGCGGAAUGCGCGGUGUAGCGGUGAAAUGCUUAGAUAUCGCGCAGAACCCCGAUUGCGAAGGCAGCGUACCGGCUCCACACUGACGCUGAGGCUCGAAAGCAUGGGGAUCAAACAGGAUUAGAUACCCGUGUAGUC
rnacentral:rRNA from 1 species